rnacentral:rRNA from 1 species
UGGGGAAUAUUGCACAAUGGGGGAAACCCUGAUGCAGCGACGCCGCGUGAACGAAGAAGGUAUUCGUAUCGUAAAGUUCUGUCCUAUGGGAAGAUAAUGACAGUACCAUUGAAGAAAGCUCCGGCUAAAUACGUGCCAGCAGCCGCGGUAAUACGUAUGGAGCGAGCGUUGUCCGGAAUUAUUGGGCGUAAAGGGUACGCAGGCGGUUUAAUAAGUCGAAUGUUAAAGAUCGGGGCUCAACCCCGCAAAGCAUUGGAAACUGAUAAACUUGAGUAGUGGAGAGGAAAGUGGAAUUCCUAGUGUAGUGGUGAAAUACGUAGAUAUUAGGAGGAAUACCAGUAGCGAAGGCGACUUUCUGGACACAAACUGACGCUGAGGUACGAAAGCGUGGGGAGCAAACAGG